AAGCUCUCUCUUCCCCUCCCAGUUUGGAAUCUCGCUUCCGCAUCACUGGAAUCCUCCGCUUGCCGAUAUGUUUGGAGUUCGCCGUUCCCUUGGAAUCGUCUCUAAUGCCGCUCUUCGGCGCUCUCAAUCAAUCGAGUCCAUUCAUGUAAAAGCGGGUAUGGAGAUUCCGGAUGACAAGCCUCUCAGAUUUGCGCUUCAGUAUAUUGAUGGAAUUGGCCGAUCGAGAGCGAACCAAGUUCUUGCAGAGCUUCACUUGGGGAACAAGCUUGCCAAGGAUUUGACUAAGAGAGAACUCGUUAUUCUUGGCGACGAAAUUUCCAAGUACAUGGUCGGACACGAGUUGAAUAGCUGUGUUAAGAAGGAUAUCGCUAGGCUGCAGGAAAUUCAGUGCCACAGAGGGAUUAGGCAUGGCCAAGGAUUGCCGUGUAGAGGCCAGCGAACAAAGACCAACGCUAGGACCAUGAAAUCAAAGCAGAUCGUCGUUGCUGGAAAGAAGAAAGCUUCUCGUUGAACAAAUGGUUCUGUUCUGCCAUUUCUCAUAUCUUGUUACUUUGUGAAGCUGCAUUUUUGCACACGAUCCAAUUUAUCAUGAGAAUCCAAUUGUGAUUUCGAUGGAGUUCAACUUUAAACUGAUAACAAACAACUCUUGGUGAAGAACCUUCGUAUGAUGAAUGAAGGUAAAAGCUUUAGAUACGUUUCAGGUGUUUACUGAAACAACAAAAACUUCUCAACAAUCUUUUGUCCAGCAUUGGUGAAAAUCGUUUGGGUAAAACAAAGCCUUUUUAUGAUUAUUGAUUUCUGCAGUUGGGCCAGGGCAAGCUUGGUGGGAACUCUAGAUUAAAUCUUUUGUAAAUUUCAGUAGUUUUUCACAAGUUUAUGAUUUUGGUAACCAUUUCACUAAAUAUAUACUAAGUUCUAUUUAAAAAGCAGAAAACGGUUUUAGAAUUAGGAAACCAUUUCACAAAUAGAGAUUCGAUUGCAAUGAUUAGCUCUUGGUGCUGACAAGUCAGAUUGACUUGUGAAAUUCUUGGAUUGUGCAGAAGAAGAAUUAUAGAAAUUUAGAUUUUCAAAAGUGUUGGGUUAAUAUAGCUUGAAACUUGAAUUUGUGUAGCUUGUGGAAUUCGUUGACCUAUAAACGUGAUGAAUGAAGUGUUUGUGCA